rnacentral:tRNA from 1 species
AGCUUGGUGGCACAGUGGUUAAAUGCUCAGCUGCUAACUGAAAGAUAGGUGGUUCAAACCCACUCGAUGCUC